AGCGAACGCUGGCGGCAGGCCUAACACAUGCAAGUCGAAUGAACCUUUCGGGGUUAGUGGCGGACGGGUGAGUAACACGUGGGAACGUGCCUUUAGGUUCGGAAUAACUCAGGGAAACUUGUGCUAAUACCGAAUGUGCCCUUCGGGGGAAAGAUUUAUCGCCUUUAGAGCGGCCCGCGUCUGAUUAGCUAGUUGGUUGAGGUAAUGGCUCACCAAGGCGACGAUCAGUAGCUGGUCUGAGAGGAUGAUCAGCCACAUUGGGACUGAGACACGGCCCAAACUCCUACGGGAGGCAGCAGUGGGGAAUCUUGCGCAAUGGGCGAAAGCCUGACGCAGCCAUGCCACGUGAAUGAUGAAGGUCUUAGGAUUGUAAAAUUCUUUCACCGGGGACGAUAAUGACGGUACCCGGAGAAGAAGCCCCGGCUAACUUCGUG
rnacentral:rRNA from 1 species